GUCUUCUUGAUAAUAUUAUGAAGUCUAACCUGCUCACUGAGUUUUUUAAAUAGCCGCGGUAUUUUGACCGUGCAAAGGUAGCAUAAUCAUUAGUUUCUUAAUUAGGGGCUGGAAUGAAUGGUUUGACGAGAAAUUAACUGUCUCUUAAUAAAUUUUAGAAUUUAACUUUUAAGUUAAAAGGCUUAAAUAUCUCUUUAGGACGAGAAGACCCUAUAGAUCUUAACAUUUAUAUUUUAUAUCUUUUUUAGUUUAUCUUUAUAUAUUAAAUUUUAAUGUUUUGUUGGGGUGACAUGAAGAAUAAAUAAACUCUUCAUUAUAAAAUCAUUAAUUUAUGUUUAUUUGAUCCAUAAUUUAUGAUCAUAAGAUUAAGUUACCUUAGGGAUAACAGCGUAAUUAUUUUUGAGAGCUCAUAUCAACAAAAUAGAUUGCGACCUCGAUGUUGGAUUAAGAUUAAUUUUAGGUGUAGUGGCUUAAUAAUUAGGUCUGUUCGACCUUUAAAUUCUUACA
rnacentral:rRNA from 1 species